GUUUUUUGUUGACUGUUUUCUUGUUGACUGUUUUCUUGUUGACUGUUUUCUUGCUGACUGUUUUUUGUUGACUGUUUUGGUGUUAGCCAUUUUCCUGUUGACCGGUUUGGUGUUGACAGUUUUCUUGCUGACUGUUUUUUGCUGACUGUUUUCUUGCUGACUGUUUUUUGUUGACUGUUUUGGUGUUGACUGUUUAUGGUCGACUGUUUUUUGCUGACUGUUUUCUUGUUGACUGAUUACGGUUGGCUGUUUUCUUGCUGACUGUUUAUGUUUGAGUGUUUUCUCGCUUGUGUCGGCAGUCGUGGCCAAAGGAGGAUUCAGACAAUUUUCCGAACUUUCUGGUUGGUUUCUACUGUCCGAUAUUGUAGCACGCUAACUUUGUUUGGGCUCCUGAACGACACGGGGGAGCAGCGUCUGCCUCACAACCAAUCAGGUUAGAGGAGGUGGAGAACGGCUUUGUUUACAGUCAGAAAGAGCGGACCGCUCAAAAAUGUUCAAAUGUUGACG